UACGUGAGGGUGCGAGCGUUGUCCGGAAUUAUUGGGCGUAAAGAGCUCGUAGGCGGUCUGUCGCGUCUGCUGUGAAAUCCCGAGGCUCAACCUCGGGCCUGCAGUGGGUACGGGCAGACUAGAGUGCGGUAGGGGAGAUUGGAAUUCCUGGUGUAGCGGUGGAAUGCGCAGAUAUCAGGAGGAACACCGGUGGCGAAGGCGGGUCUCUGGGCAAUAACUGACGCUGAGAAGCGAAAGCAUAGGGAGCGAACAGG
rnacentral:rRNA from 1 species